UACGGAGGGAGCUAGCGUUGUUCGGAAUUACUGGGCGUAAAGCGUGCGUAGGCGGUUAUUCAAGUCAGAGGUGAAAGCCCGGGGCUCAACCCCGGAACGGCCUUUGAAACUAGAUAGCUAGAGUCUUGGAGAGGUUAGUGGAGUUCCGAGUGUAGAGGUGAAAUUCGUAGAUAUUCGGAAGAACACCAGUGGCGAAGGCGACUAACUGGACAAGUACUGACGCUGAGGCACGAAAGCGUGGGGAGCAAACAGG
rnacentral:rRNA from 1 species